AGCGAACGCUGGCGGCAGGCUUAACACAUGCAAGUCGAGCGGGCAUCCUUGUGGUGUCAGCGGCAGACGGGUGAGUAACGCGUGGGAACGUGCCCUUCGGUUCGGAAUAACUCAGGGAAACUUGAGCUAAUACCGGAUACGUGCGAGAGCAGAAAGGUUUAUCUGCCGAAGGAUCGGCCCGCGUCUGAUUAGCUAGUUGGUGAGGUUAUGGCUCACCAAGGCGACGAUCAGUAGCUGGUCUGAGAGGAUGAUCAGCCACACUGGGACUGAGACACGGCCCAGACUCCUACGGGAAGCAGCAGUGGGGAAUAUUGGACAAUGGGGGCAACCCUGAUCCAGCUAUGCCGCGUGAGUGAUGACGGCCUUAGGGUUGUAAAGCUCUUUUCUCCGGGACGAUAAUGACGGUACCGGAGGAAUAAGCCCCGGCUAACUUCGUG
rnacentral:rRNA from 1 species